GACGAACGCUGGCGGCGCGCCUAACACAUGCAAGUCGAACGAGAGAUGAGGAGCUUGCUCUUCAAAUCGAGUGGCGAACGGGUGAGUAACGCGUGAGGAACCUGCCUCAAAGAGGGGGACAACAGUUGGAAACGACUGCUAAUACCGCAUAAGCCCACGGCUCGGCAUCGAGCAGAGGGAAAAGGAGCAAUCCGCUUUGAGAUGGCCUCGCGUCCGAUUAGCUGGUUGGUGAGGUAACGGCCCACCAAGGCGACGAUCGGUAGCCGGACUGAGAGGUUGAACGGCCACAUUGGGACUGAGACACGGCCCAGACUCCUACGGGAGGCAGCAGUGGGGAAUAUUGCACAAUGGGGGAAACCCUGAUGCAGCGACGCCGCGUGGAGGAAGAAGGUCCUCGGAUUGUAAACUCCUGUUGUUGAGGAAGAUAAUGACGGUACUCAACAAGGAAGUGACGGCUAACUACGUGCCAGCAGCCGCGGUAAAACGUAGGUCACAAGCGUUGUCCGGAAUUACUGGGUGUAAAGGGAGCGCAGGCGGGAGAACAAGUUGGAAGUGAAAUCCAUGGGCUCAACCCAUGAACUGCUUUCAAAACUGUUUUUCUUGAGUAGUGCAGAGGUAGGCGGAAUUCCCGGUGUAGCGGUGGAAUGCGUAGAUAUCGGGAGGAACACCAGUGGCGAAGGCGGCCUACUGGGCACCAACUGACGCUGAGGCUCGAAAGUGUGGGUAGCAAACAGGAUUAGAUACCCUGGUAGUCCACACCGUAAACGAUGAUUACUAGGUGUUGGAGGAUUGACCCCUUCAGUGCCGCAGUUAACACAAUAAGUAAUCCACCUGGGGAGUACGACCGCAAGGUUGAAACUCAAAGGAAUUGACGGGGGCCCGCACAAGCAGUGGAGUAUGUGGUUUAAUUCGACGCAACGCGAAGAACCUUACCAAGUCUUGACAUCCCUUGACGAUGCUGGAAACAGUAUUUCUCUUCGGAGCAAGGAGACAGGUGGUGCAUGGUUGUCGUCAGCUCGUGUCGUGAGAUGUUGGGUUAAGUCCCGCAACGAGCGCAACCCUUAUGGUCAGUUACUACGCAAGAGGACUCUGGCCAGACUGCCGUUGACAAAACGGAGGAAGGUGGGGAUGACGUCAAAUCAUCAUGCCCUUUAUGACUUGGGCUACACACGUACUACAAUGGCGUUAAACAAAGAGAAGCAAGACCGCGAGGUGGAGCAAAACUCAGAAACAACGUCCCAGUUCGGACUGCAGGCUGCAACUCGCCUGCACGAAGUCGGAAUUGCUAGUAAUCGUGGAUCAGCAUGCCACGGUGAAUACGUUCCCGGGCCU
rnacentral:rRNA from 1 species